UCGAGGAUCUUUUGCAAUGGGCGAAAGCCUGACAAUGCGACGCCGCGUGAGGGAUGAAGGUUUUCGGAUCGUAAACCUCUGUCAAGGGGGAUGAUGGCUUUUUGGAUUAAUACUCCGAAAGGUUGACAGUACCCCUGAAGGAAGCCACGGCUAACUCCGUGCCAGCAGCCGCGGUAAUACGGAGGUGGCAAGCGUUACUCGGAUUUAUUGGGUGUAAAGGGCGUGUAGGCGGUUGCGCAAGUCGAAUGUGAAAUUCCACGGCUUAACCGUGGAACUGCAUUCGAAACUGCGCGACUUGAGUAUGAGAGAGGAAAAUGGAAUUCCCGGUGUAAGGGUGAAAUCUGUGGAUAUCGGGAGGAACACCAGUGGCGAAGGCGAUUUUCUGGCUCAUUACUGACGC
rnacentral:rRNA from 1 species